GUUGUAGCUCAGUGGUAGAGUGCUUUCCUAGCAGGUGCGAGGCCCUGGGUUCAAUCCUCAGUACACA
rnacentral:tRNA from 1 species